ensembl:misc_RNA Metazoa_SRP Metazoan signal recognition particle RNA
GCCGGGCGUGGUGGCUCACGCCUGUAAUCCCAGCACUUUGGGAGGCUGAGGCGGGUGGAUCACCUGAGGUCAGGAGUUCAAGACCAGCCUUGCCAAUAUGGUGAAACCCUGUCUCUA